GGCAGUUCUCAGAUGACACAUUCCAAAAUCAGGCUCCCUCCUCUCUGGUUCCUGGGUGUGUCACCCGAGAAAUGCC
rfam:Myotis davidii contig204083, whole genome shotgun sequence.